rnacentral:sRNA from 1 species
UUUGUCCGUCAUCCCGGCGAAGGCCGGGAUCUCGCCGGUGCGUCAUGUUGCGACGACGAGAUCCCGGCCUUCGCCGGGAUGACGAAUUGG